AUUGUGGUAGUUCAGUGGUAGAAUGCUCGCCUAUCACGCGAGCGUCCCUGGUUCGAUUCCUAGCCAAUG
rnacentral:tRNA from 1 species